rnacentral:rRNA from 1 species
CCUACGGGGGGCUGCAGUGGGGAAUAUUGGACAAUGGGGGCAACCCUGAUCCAGCCAUGCCGCGUGUGUGAAGAAGGCCCUCGGGUUGUAAAGCACUUUCAGUGAGGAAUAACGCCUGGUGGUUAAUACCCAUCAGGAAAGACAUCACUCACAGAAGAAGCACCGGCUAACUCCGUGCCAGCAGCCGCGGUAAUACGGAGGGUGCGAGCGUUAAUCGGAAUUACUGGGCGUAAAGCGCGCGUAGGUGGCUUGAUAAGCCGGUUGUGAAAGCCCCGGGCUCAACCUGGGAACGGCAUCCGGAACUGUCAAGCUAGAGUGCAGGAGAGGAAGGUAGAAUUCCCGGUGUAGCGGUGAAAUGCGUAGAGAUCGGGAGGAAUACCAGUGGCGAAGGCGGCCUUCUGGACUGACACUGACACUGAGGUGCGAAAGCGUGGGUAGCAAACAGGAUUAGAUACCCGGGUAGUC